AAUUGGUUUUAAAACUUUUAGGGACCAAUUAAUUAAUAUUGAUAAAAUACAGGUACCUUAUAACAAUUUACCCUUCCAAUAAAGAAGAGACGUAGCAAAAACGACAACUCAUAAAGCUGAAGAAAAACCAGAUCAAAAUAACGGCAAAUCCAAAUUCACCUAAAAAUUAUCUUCAAUUUUUUACACGAUUGAGGUAUCAAUCUCACAGCCGAGUGAUCGUUUGCUGAAACUCCAAACUUUGCCGAAAACCACAUAAACUAUGUUGCAGUUAGUGGCUUCGAAGAUACAACACUUACUGGAAGAAACAAGCAUACAAAUUUCAAAGUGAAACUUUCCGGGUUCUUACUCAUUGCACUUCUGCUGAUGGUUUAAUGAAACAUCAUAAAGUUCAGAGAAUUUUUUAGGAAGUGGAUUCUUGAGAGUUUUUCUGUAUUGUAGCUUACAAAUAAAUCAAAAAAAAUUAUAUAGUAAUAUUUCAGCUGUUUGAAUUUGAGAAUGUUAAGAUGUAUAUGUAGUUUCAAACUUCAAAUAUGACAUGAAUCUGUGGGGAAAACUUUUUUUUUGAAUAGGAUGGUUUCACGAGGUUCAUGUUCAUCUUUCUUUGUUUGGUUGAAAUAUUAAUAUAGGGAUGAUUUAUGCA